GACUACAGGGGUAUCUAAUCCUGUUUGCUCCCCACGCUUUCGCACCUCAGCGUCAGUAUUGGCCCAGGUCGCCGCCUUCGCCACUGGUGUUCCUCCCGAUAUCUACGAAUUUCACCUCUACACCGGGAAUUCCGCGACCCUCUUCCAUACUCAAGCUCGCCAGUUUCGGAUGCACGUCCUCAGUUGAGCUGAGGGAUUUCACGUCCGACUUGGUGAGCCGCCUACGUGCGCUUUACGCCCAAUGAUUCCGAGCAACGUUUGCACCCUUCGUAUUACCGCGGCUGCUGGCACGAAGUUAGCCGGUGCUUGCUAAGGAGGUACCGUCAUGCCACCCGCUAUGCACGAGUGGCGGUUCGUCCCUCCCCACAGAGCUUUACGACCCGAAGGCCUUCAUCACUCACGCGGCGUGGCUGGAUCAGGCUUGCGCCCAUUGUCCAAUAUUCCCCACUGCAGCCGCCCGUAGG
rnacentral:rRNA from 1 species